AACGAACGCUGGCGGCAUGCCUAACACAUGCAAGUCGAACGAGACCUUCGGGUCUAGUGGCGCACGGGUGCGUAACGCGUGGGAACCUGCCCUUAGGUUCGGAAUAACUCCCCGAAUGGUGUGCUAAUACCGGAUAAUGUCUUCGGACCAAAGAUUUAUCGCCUUUGGUUGGGCCCGUGUUGGAUUAGCUAGUUGCUAGGGUAAAAGCCUACCACGGCUACGAUCCAUAGCUGGUCGGCGAGGAUGAUCAGCCACACUGGGGGUGAGACACGGCCCAGAAUAGUACGGGAGGGAGCAGUGGGGAAUAUUGGAAGAUGGGGGGAAGCCUGAUCCAGCAAUGCCGCGUGAGAAAUGAAGGCCGUGGGGUUGUAAAGCACUUUUACCCGGGAUGAUAAUGAAAGUACCGAGAGAAUAAGCUCCGGCUAACUCCGUG
rnacentral:rRNA from 1 species